UAGCGAAGGGGGCUAGCGUUGCUCGGAAUUACUGGGCGUAAAGCGCACGUAAGGCGGAUCUUUAAGUCAGGGGUGAAAUCCUGGAGCUCAACUCCAGGAAACUGCCUUUGAUUACUGGAGGACCUUGAGUUCGGGAGAGGUGAGUGGGAAACUGCGAGUGUAGAGGUGAAAUUCGUAGAUAUUCGCAAAGAACACCAGUGGCGGAAGGCGGACUCACUGGCCCCGAUACUGACG
rnacentral:rRNA from 1 species